CCAUAAUAUAAUUGUCGACCGCCUUUUCCUUUUCUGCUGAGGAACUAUUGCUUCUGUAGUUGGGGAUGGGGCAUUUUGCACCUUUAAGUAUACAGUAGAGUUAUAAUGAGUUAUUUCAUUAUCAUUGUUUAUCAAUGAAAAUAUCUGAUUUGGCAAGUAGCAAUCACCAUUGGCAGAAUCAGAACCAAAUCGAAAAAUAGCAGCUUUGCAGGAGCAAUUCUUUGAACAAGCCUCCUUGCAUUUCUCCAAACCCACAUUUUCAAGAUCACUGAGAAAGGAGGAAUAUGUUGUUUCCAUGAGCUCUAUAAAACUGUGAUAUAGAGAAGCUUGACAAGACAAGGAAGUAGCUUCAGAACACCCAAGAUCAGGCUGCCUAUCAUUUAUUUGCUUAAAAUAAGUUGUUGAAGGGCAACUGCACUGCCCAUUGGAGCAAAUUCCAUAGUUCCCGCAAACUGUAGGGUAGAAACAUUCAUUCACUCGACCUGAAAGCAGAUCUGCAACUUGUUUCCACCCAUCUUUUGUCCACUCGUAAAGUCUCAAAUGCCCGUCGGGACAAAAUCUCACAUACUGUACUGAUGAGGCGUCGGGAAUGGAUUGGGAGCGAUCUGGCGCACUUGGCGGAGAAGAAUUGGCGAACAAAGCAA
rnacentral:misc_RNA from 1 species